rnacentral:rRNA from 1 species
GAUGAACGCUGGCGGCGUGCCUAAUACAUGCAAGUCGAGCGAACAGACGAGGAGCUUGCUCCUCUGACGUUAGCGGCGGACGGGUGAGUAACACGUGGAUAACCUACCUAUAAGACUGGGAUAACUUCGGGAAACCGGAGCUAAUACCGGAUAAUAUAUUGAACCGCAUGGUUCAAUAGUGAAAGACGGUUUUGCUGUCACUUAUAGAUGGAUCCGCGCCGCAUUAGCUAGUUGGUAAGGUAACGGCUUACCAAGGCAACGAUGCGUAGCCGACCUGAGAGGGUGAUCGGCCACACUGGAACUGAGACACGGUACAGACUCCUACGGGAGGCAGCAGUAGGGAAUCUUCCGAAAUGGGCGAAAGCUUGACGGGGCAACGCCGCGUGAGUGAUGAAGGUCUUCGGAUCGUAAAACCCUGUUAUUAGGGAAGAACAAAUGUGUAAGUAACUAUGCACGUCUUGACGGUACCUAAUCAGAAAGCCACGGCUAACUACGUG